ACAGUGACUUUCCCUGAUUCCCUGCUCUGGAUUGUCCCUUUCACAAAGGAUUCCUUUGCGUGUACCACAAAGACGGAUGACUUGGCAUCGAAAGGCUUGUUCUGGGCUGCAAUUCUCUCCUUUUCUGACUUCCGGAGGUCUGGACUCCUCUAGAGAUGGAUGCAAAGCAGAGCAGAGUCAGAAGAGAAGAGGCAGAACAAGGGUAGACUCUGGCUACAGGCAGAGCAACAAGGAGUGGGCAAGACUCUGCGGUGCUGACAUUCCCAUGGAAGGGGAAGGAUUUUGUUGGGCUGAAAAUAAAUCCUUCUUCA